rnacentral:rRNA from 2 species
UACGUGAGGGGCGAACGUUGUUCGGUGUCACUGGGCUUAAAGGGUGCGUAGGUGGUUGCGUAAGUAACGUGUGAAAUCCCUCGGCUUACCCGGGGAAUUGCGCGUUAUACUGCGUGACUUGAGGAUUUCAGGGGAAUGGGGAACUCCAGGUGUAGCGGUGAAAUGCGCAGAUAUCUGGGGGAAGGCCGGCGGCGAAGGCGCCAUUCUGGGAAAUUCCUGACACUGAGGCACGAAAGCGUGGGGAGCAAACAGG